UACGAAGGGGGCUAGCGUUGCUCGGAAUUACUGGGCGUAAAGGGCGCGUAGGCGGCGCAGUUAGUCGGGCGUGAAAUUCCUGGGCUCAACCUGGGGACUGCGCUUGAUACGGCUGUGCUAGAGGAUGGAAGAGGCUCGCGGAAUUCCCAGUGUAGAGGUGAAAUUCGUAGAUAUUGGGAAGAACACCGGUGGCGAAGGCGGCGAGCUGGUCCAUUACUGACGCUGAGGCGCGACAGCGUGGGGAGCAAACAGG
rnacentral:rRNA from 1 species